UACACCUCUAAUCCAAUAUAGCGAACCAAACGUGCUCUAAGUGUUUCUCUCUGUCACCAUCGUCUUCAUCAUCAUCUUCCCCUCUCUCCCUCUUUUUGCAUACAUCUUAGAAGAGCUCAUACUUUAUCUGUUUCUCAUGUGACUUUGCCUUUCUCAACUUCUUCUCAAUCAUUUAUUUCCAUUUCCUUCAACAUACAAAUUAUGGGUUUAAACUUUGAAGGAUUUGGGAUGUUCUUUCAAACAAAGAAGUGGUAGAUAUUAUAGAAUCUGCCCCAGCUUGUUCGUCUGCUGCUCGAACCUUGCUUCAAACAGCAGUUCAAGCAUGGAGAUACAAAUAUCCGACUUCAAAAGUUGAUGACUGUGCUGUUGUAAUAAUAAGGUUUUCUGUUGCAACGCAUGUAUUAUGAAAGGAUCAGAUGCAAUGGGUUGCAUGGAAGAGGCUUUUAGCUUUUGAGAAGGUAGUGAUGCCUUGUCAAUGGCUGAAUGUCAAAAUGAAAUGCAAAAGCUUUUCAAGGAGUAAGCCACUUUUUCAUUAGAACAAGCCUGUAUGUCUGUUGACAGUAGUUGUCAUAAAAAAUUGUUUGCACGCCCUUUGGUUCCAUGAUUGAAUCAUAAAAAUUAGUUAAUUGGCUUUUUAUGCUAUUAUCUCUUUAAUUUUUUGAAGAGCCCUUCCACUUAGAUAUUUCGUUGAUGUAAAAGAUGCUGGGAGCUCCACAUCGAUUUAAAUGUGUUUUUAAUUUAUUUAUUUAUAGUGCUCUUAUCCCAUUAGAUGAUCUGUUAAAAUAUACUCUACUAUUGGAUUUGGGAUAUCUAUUUUAAGGUUGAUGUUUCUUUUGAUCCUGGUGUGUUCAUGUAUAUGUCUUCAAACAUACUGGCUUUUGAAAUUAGAUUGUGUCGGAGUCACAAAAAAAGACUACCUACAGAAGAUAAAAGUGGUGCUGGUAUCAGAAUUCAUGAUAACAAUGAAGGAGAGGAAUCCUCGGCUGUGCGAUUUGAAGGGGAAGUGUCACUGGGAGAUUUAAUAUGGCUCAAACUCCUUGGGGAAACAUGGUGGCCUGCAGUGGUAUGCCUAUUGCUGUGGUUGUUUGAUCUUGCAACUAGUUCUCUUUUCCGACCUUUUAAAGAUUAAUUAGCAUUUGGAGCAGAAUUAUGUAGUUCUGUGGAUUUUAUUUGUCGAUAUUGUUUCAGGUUGUAUUUUAAUUGUGUUAUUAAUUUAUUAUUUUAAAUUCUAAAAACUAAAUUCAUUAA